GACAGAGGAUGCAAGCGUUAUCCGGAAUGAUUGGGCGUAAAGCGUCUGUAGGUGGCUUUUUAAGUCCGCCGUCAAAUCCCAGGGCUCAACCCCUGGACAGGCGGUGGAAAACUACCAAGCUGGAGUACGGUAGGGGCAGAGGGGAAAUUUACGGGUGUAGCGGUGAAAUGCGUAGAUAUCGUAAGGAAGACCAGUGGCGAAGGCGGGGUCUCUGGACAGUUCCUGACGCUGAGGCACGAAGGCCAGGGGGAGCAAACGGG
rnacentral:rRNA from 1 species